rnacentral:lncRNA from 1 species
CUAAGCCUAGUGGCCGGCGGCGCCUUCUAAUUGGACAGCGGGCAUACUACUAUACAAGAAUUGAAGUGCCGAGGCUCCCGGCUUGGCGCUGGCUGACUCAGCCAGCGCCACCAAAAACCUAGACACGUAUCCCCAGCUUCAAAACAGGAACAACAUCAAGACAGUACGCCGAAACGCCAACAAAGGAAAAUGUGAAUACGUACCUGAUGACUCAAUAUGGGGAGGUGAAACGCUGAGCAACUAACACUAGGAAAUAUACAACGAAUGACAAGCUGGGAUAGAAAAAGUGGUGAAGAAGGGUACCCAGGAUCUUUGAUCGGUGUGUUGAGUGGCUAAUCCGGAACGAGGCGAAUCAAUGUGGAGAUCUUUGAAAACUGGUGCACUCGCUAAGAGCGCUAUACUGGGAGAACCGUGUGUCGGAACUGGAUCAAAAGCCCAGUCCGCAGCACGAAUUCAAUGCUCCUGCGUACCUAAUAAGGCUCAUUAAGGAGCCUCCGGUAAUUAGUCUCAUGUCCUUCUUUCCAGAGCGUCUCUGUACGUAGGUCUGCGUGGAGAGGACAGCAUACAAGAACGUAAGCCAAGUCCUGGAUUCUAAAUCUAUAUUAAUACUAUACUAUAUAAGCGCUAAACUCUAAAUAUAUUACAGGCUAUU